rnacentral:rRNA from 1 species
AUUGAACGCUGGCGGCAGGCUUAACACAUGCAAGUCGAGCGGAGAUGAGGUGCUUGCACCUUAUCUUAGCGGCGGACGGGUGAGUAAUGCUUAGGAAUCUGCCUAUUAGUGGGGGACAACAUUCCGAAAGGAAUGCUAAUACCGCAUACGUCCUACGGGAGAAAGCAGGGGAUCUUCGGACCUUGCGCUAAUAGAUGAGCCUAAGUCGGAUUAGCUAGUUGGUGGGGUAAAGGCCUACCAAGGCGACGAUCUGUAGCGGGUCUGAGAGGAUGAUCCGCCACACUGGGACUGAGACACGGCCCAGACUCCUACGGGAGGCAGCAGUGGGGAAUAUUGGACAAUGGGGGGAACCCUGAUCCAGCCAUGCCGCGUGUGUGAAGAAGGCCUUAUGGUUGUAAAGCACUUUAAGCGAGGAGGAGGCUACUGAGACUAAUACUCUUGGAUAGUGGACGUUACCCGCAGAAUAAGCACCGGCUAACUCUGUGCCAGCAGCCGCGGUAA